rnacentral:piRNA from 1 species
UAAUCAGAAAUAUUUUUCUUUGUAUGUUC